GCCUACAGCCAUACCAUCCUGAACAUGCCCGAUCUCAUCUCAUCUCAGAAGCUAAGCAGGGUCAGGCCUGGUUAGUACUUGGAUGGGUGACACAUGCACAUGUAUGUU
rnacentral:rRNA from 1 species